rnacentral:rRNA from 1 species
AGGUUUGGCACCUCGAUGUCGGCUCAUCGCAUCCUGGGGCUGAAGCAGGUCCCAAGGGUUUGGCUGUUCGCCAAUUAAAGCGGUACGUGAGCUGGGUUCAGAACGUCGCGAGACAGUUUGGUCCCUAUCUGCCGUGGGUGUUCGAAAAUUGAGAGGAGCUGCUCUUAGUACGAGAGGACCGGAGCGGACACACCUCUAGUGUACCAGUUGUGACGCCAGUCGCAGCGCUGGGUAGCCAAGUGUGGAAGAGAUAACCGCUGAAAGCAUCUAAGCGGGAAACUCGCCUCGAAACGAAUUUUCGCCAUAGGACCGUAGUAGACCACUACGUUGAUAGGCCCGAUGUGGAAGCACCGUAAGGUGUGCAGCUAACGGGUACUAAUCGUCCAAUUGGCUUCAUAAG